UCACAGAAUAAGUAUAUAAACACUGCAAGGUUGUCUUUAAGGGAUGACCGGGGAAGUCAAGCGUAUAACUACGACUCUGCGUAUUUUAUAUGCAUACCAUUUAUUUUUCACAACAUCUUAUGGAUUUCGAUUCGAUUUACUUCUAUUCAGAACAUGCUCUACGCACAUGCUUGUUUUAGUGCCAGGAGGCAGGGCAAAGUGUUUCACAACAAGCCUUUCUGAGAUCAAGAGACAAGAGCUGAACAACAACGGAAACCACAUUCACCACUAUUCCUGCCUGACACUAAUGUCUCAGCAUGUACGCGUACAGCAUGGAGAUGUAAACAAAACGGCGUGGCCUCCACAUACUAGGGAGGAGUGCUCCUGGCUGUAAAGUGUCGUGCGAGAGUGAUCGGGGGUGGACGCACGGUACCUCGGGGCUGUGGAGGACAGCAGCGGCGCAGUUGAAAGCGCAGGUUCUCUGUGCGGAGGCUCUGACCCUGCAGGUGCUCCAGCAGCUCUUUUAGACUCGUCCUGAAAGUUUCUGUCCCAAACAGCCUGUAGCCCUGAGAACCCACCUCAAUCUGGAAGUUCUUAUACUGGGGAACAGG